rnacentral:rRNA from 1 species
UGAGGAAUAUUGCGCAAUGGAGGCAACUCUGACGCAGCCAUGCCGCGUGCAGGAAGACGGCCCUACGGGUUGUAAACUGCUUUUAUCAGGGAAGAAACCCCUUUACGUGUAAAGGGUUGACGGUACCUGAGGAAUAAGCACCGGCUAACUCCGUGCCAGCAGCCGCGGUAAUACGGAGGGUGCAAGCGUUAUCCGGAUUCAUUGGGUUUAAAGGGUGCGUAGGCGGAAUAUUAAGUCAGUGGUGAAAUCCUGCAGCUCAACUGUAGAAUUGCCAUUGAUACUGGUAUUCUUGAGUGCGCUUGAAGUAGGCGGAAUGUGCCGUGUAGCGGUGAAAUGCUUAGAUAUGGCACAGAACACCAAUUGCGAAGGCAGCUUACUAAGGCGAUACUGACGCUGAGGCACGAAAGCGUGGGGAUCGAACAGG